rnacentral:rRNA from 1 species
GAUGAACGCUAGCGGCAGGCUUAACACAUGCAAGUCGAGGGGUAACGAUGUUGACUUCGGUUAACAGGCGACGACCGGCGCACGGGUGAGUAACGCGUAUGCAAUCUACCUAUAACACAGGGAUAGUCAAGAGAAAUUUUGAAUAAUACCUGAUAACGAUAUGAAUUGGCAUCGAUUUAUAUUUAAAGCGUUAGCGGUUAUAGAUGAGCAUGCGUUCCAUUAGUUAGUUGGUAAGGUAACGGCUUACCAAGGCAACGAUGGAUAGGGGUCCUGAGAGGGUAAUCCCCCACACUGGUACUGAGACACGGACCAGACUCCUACGGGAGGCAGCAGUGAGGAAUAUUGGGCAAUGGACGCAAGUCUGACCCAGCCAUGCCGCGUGCAGGAUGACUGCCUUAUGGGUUGUAAACUGCUUUUCUGCAAGGAUAAACUGUACUACGUGUAGUACACUGAAGGUAAUGUAGGAAUAAGCAUCGGCUAACUCCG